GCAGUCGAGAACACAUCUACUUUUGUAGAGUCGGAAAAAAUCAAAGUUUUUUUAGAAAACCGAAAAAUUUCGGAAAAAGAAAAAAAAAAGUUGAAGUAAAAAAGAAAAUAUUUCUUUAAAAUUGAAAAAAAAAUUAUUUCGGACAUAGUUUAAAAUAUUUUCAAUUGGUUAAUAAUUAAUUGUGUUGAAUGGUUUUCGCGAGUUCCCAUCAGUUCCUUCUUUUCUAAAGAAUAUUUUAAUAUUUAAUAUUUUCAAUUUACAAUUUUCAAAUACAAAAUUUACAAAUAUUCGGCAAUUAAAUUUUUACGCCAGUGAUUGAUAUAUGAUUUUAUUUGAUUGAUUGAUUGAUUCACAUUCGACAUGUACCGGGCAGAGGCAUUUACACUUUCAAGCAGUUCCUACAAAAUGAGACCCAUACACAAAAUGUUGGACUUUUACUUUCGCUUCUGGCCCUCAUGGAGCAACAAGGAAAAGGCCAUCGCCGCUCUUUUGGCUGCUGGCCUUUACGCUCUGUUUGCCUGUUGGCUUUGGGUAUAUUCCACUCGGCAACAAUGAAUUCCCGAAAUCGGAGAAUUGAAAACACACAACAAAAAUUAUUCCGCUGAUACAUACGAGUCCAAGGAUAUCUCUGGCACACACUAAACUCUUUAUGUUUAAACAUUGACACAAGUUAACAAUUUAAUAUAAUUGUUGAAUACACGUAAGACCCCUAGGGCACGGGGUCACCACAGCCAAUCAACCAUGCCAGUGGCAUUCAAGACCAAGGAUAUCUCAGCAAUUGCAGCGAAUAUUUAUUUAUAUCUCCAUAUUUCACACACUAAACUAAUCAUUUACACAACUUAACAAUUUAUUUAAUUGUUAAGAUACAACUAAGACACAAAAAAGCACUGGCAAACCUGCUGCCAUGGUUGAUUGGCUGAAAAUAAUUUCUUUUCGGCGGUGGAAAGCAUUGACGAGCAACGGCACAGCACAGCGCACACAAGAACACAAUUGUUCAAUCUGUUCAAUAACAAUUAACGUUUAAGUUACUUACUUGCUUUUCAUGUUAAACUACGCAAUAAAAUGCAAUUUAAAAACGA